UCUAAACGACUCUCGGCAACGGAUAUCUCGGCUCUCGCAUCGAUGAAGAACGUAGCGAAAUGCGAUACUUGGUGUGAAUUGCAGAAUCCCGUGAACCAUCGAGUCUUUGAACGCAAGUUGCGCCUGAAGCCAUUCGGUUGAAGGCACGUCUGCCUGGGCGUCACGC
rnacentral:rRNA from 1 species